rnacentral:rRNA from 1 species
UACGAAGGGUCCAAGCGUUAUCCGGAUUUAUUGGGUUUAAAGGGUGCGUAGGCGGCUUAUUAAGUCAGUGGUGAAAGACUUCAGCUUAACUGAAGAACUGCCAUCGAUACUGAUGAGCUUGAGUACAGUUGAGGUGGGCGGAAUGUGUCAUGUAGCGGUGAAAUGCUUAGAUAUGACACAGAACACCGAUUGCGAAGGCAGCUCGCUAAACUGUAACUGACGCUGAGGCACGAAAGCGUGGGGAGCAAACAGGA